GUUUACUUCCUGGUUGCACCAUGAGAAGAGGAUGGCCGCAUCAAAGCUCCUAAACAAAAGUUUCACUUUGAGUCAACUUCUGGAUAUGUUAGAUCUAGGUGACCGCCCAGUCAAGGCAUGCAACAUUGCAGUUAUCCCUCAAAAUGAGAGAUGCUGUCCUCAGUGAUUGUGAUAGCAAUAGGUCAGAUAUGGUCUAUGAGGGGGAGACAGGCCAUUAGCCAGCCAGACUGUUGAAUGCAUAUGCUGAACCAAACCUAUGCAAACAGAUCAUGACAGGAACAACGUUAUCAGUGAUGAUGACCUACCCCCUCCAUUGUUGAUAAUGAAGAGCCAAGGGCCUCACCCGCCAGAGGGUCCAGUCAGAAGAGCCAAGGGCCUCUACCCGCCAUAGGGGCCAGCCAGAAGAGCCAAGGGUAAAGCUGCAGGUGGUCAAAAAUAAAGAUCAAGUGUUCAAACAAUCGAAGAGGCCUGGCACCUACGUGAUUUCAAAACACAUAGUAUACAGCCCAAAUAUGCAAAGGUUUGUCACGAAACCACUGAGCCACAGAAGGACAUCUCUAAUGGCUGCUACUGUUGAAGAUCAGGCAAGAUAUGACAAAGCUUCUCACUGGCCAAUCAACACAAUGCACCGGUUCCAGAGAUGUCGUCAUUGUGACAAACGCACUACCUAUGCAUGUGAGAAAUGCAAAGCGCCACUGCACAUUGAGUGAUUCAAGAUAUACCACGGACAGCAGAAAAGGAGAUAAGAGUGAAUGAAAAAGGACUGAAAAAGCCAAUACAAGAAAAAUAGAAAAGUCAAUAAAGGGUGAGGAGAAGCAGUACAACGGACUCUAGGAAGAAAAGUCAAAGAAAAAGUGAAAAAGACAAUCAAAAUUACUGGUCAAUUGAAGGUCAAUUGAUUCAAGACCCUGUAUGACAGUAGGUGUGACUGAUCACAGUUCAAAAGAGUGAUGAACAAAGUGAUGAACAAACUAAUAUAUAUACAGUAUAUAUAUAUAUAUAUACGUAUAUAUAUAUAUAAAUAUAUAUAUGUGUAUGUAUGCAUGUACUGUAUGUAUGUAUGAUGUGUGUAUAUAUAUAUAUUGUUUUAUUUUGUUCCGUGUAGGCCUCUACUUGAAUGCAUAUUCUACAGGCUACCUCUAUCCUAAAUGUUCAAUGUGAAUUAAUCACACGACUGCUAUACAGUUGUUAGUGAAUGUUGCACUGAAAUGUCAUAAUGACAAUGUUCCAAUAAAGUUACAAUAUUAAUGUUUCAAUACAUGUUGCACUAAAGCAACAAUGCAUGUUACAAUAAAGUAACAAUGUUGAAAUUUGUU